GGCUCAGGAUGAACGCUGGCGGCGUGCCUAAGGUAUGCAAGUCGAACGAAUCCCGAUUCGUCGGGAAGAGUGGCAGACGGCUGAGUAACGCGUGGGAAUUCCCUUGAACUCGAGCAUAGCCCUGCGAAAGCAGGAGUAAUUCUCGAUAGUCCCUCCGGGGUAAAGAUUUUUCGGUUCAAGAUAAGCCCGCGUCUUAUCAGGUAGUUGGUAAGGUAAAAGCUUACCAAGCCUAUGACGAGUAGCUGGUCUGAGAGGAUGGUCAGCCAGACUGGGACUGCGAAACGGCCCAGACUCCUACGGGAGGCAGCAAUUAGGAAUCGUGCGCAAUGGACGAAAGUCUGACGCCGCGACGCCGCGUGGAGGAAGAAGGCCUACGGGUUGUAAACUCCUUUUAUUGGGGAACAAAUUUUGAGUGUACCCUUUGAAUAAGCACCUGCUAACUACGUGCCAGAAGCAUCGGUAAUACGUAGGGUGCAAGCGUUAUCCGGAUUUACUGGGCGUAAAGAGAUGCGUAGGCGAUUUGGUAAGUUUGAUGUCAAAUCUUGAGGCUUAACCUCAAAAUUGCAUUAAAUACUAUCAGAAUUGAGAUAGGUAGAGGAGAGGGGAAUUCCUGGUGGAGCGGUUAAAUGCGUAGAUAUCAGGAGGAACACCGUUGGCGAAGGCGCCUCUCUGGACCUUUUCUGACGCUGAGGCUCGAAAGCGUGGGUAGCGAAACGGAUUAGAUACCCGUGUAGUCCACGCCGUAAACGAUCCCUGCUAGAUGUUCGAUUUGUAGAAGUUU
rnacentral:rRNA from 1 species